ensembl:lncRNA
CUCUCUCUCUCUCUCUCUCUCUCUCUCUCUCUCUCUCGGUGCAUGCUGGGAGUGAGUGUGUGUGAGCGUGUGUGAGCGUCUUUGAGCGGUUUUCUCUAUUUGUUUUUUUUCCCUUAGUUAUAUAUAUUAAUUUAAUGUGGUUUAGUGGUUGUUUUUCACUUUAGUUGUGGGUUUAGUCGUGGGUUUUUUUUUCUUUGGGUUUCUUUUCUCCUGCCGGUGUCUCGCCGGUCGGCGUCUCUAGACGCCAUGGUAAAUGGGGACACGUUCUCCCAGCUCACGAGGAAGCACGGCAUUAAGAUCGCCGCGGGCUUCCCGUGCAGCGUGGAGGACAUCGGGUUGGCUGUGGGGGAAGUGGUCGGGCACGGCAGCGUUAAGUCGGCCGCUCGGAUGAACGGGGCCGUGGUCAUCUUCCUGGACCAGGUGGAGAAGGUGAACCGAGUCGUCGAGGCGCCUCACGGUGAAUGAAAUGUUUGUGCAGGUGGUUCUAUCGAACGUCCCUCCGUUCAUCACCGACGAAUUUCUCAGCAGAGAGCUGUCCAGACACGGAAAGGUGGUGUCACCGAUCAAAGAUCUUGUCUGGAUGCAGGUCUCAGUUACUGAAGCACGUGGUGUCUCACCGCAGACACCUCUAUAUGAUACUAAACAACCGGAAUGUGGAGCUCAACCUCCGCUUCCAUGUGAAGGUGGAUGAUUACGAGUACGUGAUUUUUGCAUCAUCGUCGGCGAUGAAAUGUUUCGGUUGCGGCGAGGAG